AACGAACGCUGGCGGCAUGCCUAACACAUGCAAGUCGAACGAUUGCCUUCGGGUGAUAGUGGCGCACGGGUGCGUAACGCGUGGGAAUCUGCCCUUAGGUUCGGAAUAACAGCUGGAAACGGCUGCUAAUACCGGAUGAUAUCGCGAGAUCAAAGGUUUAUCGCCUGAGGAUGAGCCCGCGUUGGAUUAGGUAGUUGGUGGGGUAAAGGCCUACCAAGCCGACGAUCCAUAGCUGGUCUGAGAGGAUGAUCAGCCACACUGGGACUGAGACACGGCCCAGACUCCUACGGGAGGCAGCAGUGGGGAAUAUUGGACAAUGGGCGCAAGCCUGAUCCAGCAAUGCCGCGUGAGUGAUGAAGGCCCUAGGGUUGUAAAGCUCUUUUACCCGGGAAGAUAAUGACGGUACCGGGAGAAUAAGCCCCGGCUAACUCCGUG
rnacentral:rRNA from 1 species